CAUGCAUGCCUUUUAAUUGGUGCUUCUCGAUCACCUAUUCCACUUCUUCUCUAUUUAAGCCUUCCAUUCUUCGAUACAUUUCAAGAUGUAUCGAUGGAGCGGUUUUGGUGAGUGAAGAAAAGUUAGAAGGGGAAGUUGAGUGAAAACUAGUCUUUGAAGGUGGUUAGAAGUUUGAACUGCAUGCAGCAUGAAGAAAGGUUUUGUUUACUGUUAUUCAUUGAGACUUGCUUGGAUGAGGGCCCGUACUUGAUGCUGGUGAAGAUGCAUCAAGAGUCCUAAAAGGAUUAUGAACAAAAGGUACUUGAGGUUCUUUUGAAAUCGAAUCAUUAAUUAUAUCAAAUGAAUCUUUUGAGAUUUCCACCUUUUCGAUUAUGUCAUCUACCAUUUUAGCUUAUUUUCUCAUUUAAGAAUUUUUAUCUUUGGAAUCAAUAUCACGCUUCAAGUGUGUAUUUGGAACCAACAGAACUACCAUGCUUCAGGCGUGUUAUGAAUUAAUAUCAAAUAUAUUAUGAGCAUUAGCAACUGA